rnacentral:rRNA from 1 species
AGCAGUAGCCACGGUAAUACAGAGGGUGCGAGCGUUAAUCGGAUUUACUGGGCGUAAAGCGUGCGUAGGCGGCUUCUUAAGUCGGAUGUGAAAUCCCUGAGCUUAACUUAGGAAUUGCAUUCGAUACUGGGAAGCUAGAGUAUGGGAGAGGAUGGUAGAAUUCCAGGUGUAGCGGUGAAAUGCGUAGAGAUCUGGAGGAAUACCGAUGGCGAAGGCAGCCAUCUGGCCUAAUACUGACGCUGAGGUACGAAAGCAUGGGGAGCAAACAGGAUUAGAUACCCGAGUAGUCCCUGUCUCUUAUAA